UUUAAAUAUGAAGGAACUAAACUUAGUUUAUGCUCUGUGGUUUCCUUUGUUUAACUGCUGAGAAUCAGGCUAAAGUUACUGCCUUUCCUGCUUAAAAAGGAUGCUAGACCCCUCACAGAGGAGCCAAGAAAAAGUUUCUGAAGCGAGAUCUCUGACUGAAGACCAUCCAGCUAGAGGCUGAUCGUGGAGAACCUGUCCUGUCAUGAGCCAACCUAUUCUACUCACAGAGGUUUGACUUGGUAGACUGUUUUUCUCCCUGAGGGCUCUGAUCAGGAUGAGAGAACAAGAUGGAGAGUCAGACUUCCGAGUCCCUAGGUUCUCAGCACUUGACCCUCACAACGUGGCAUUCCUUCAGGCUCUGGCCUGACAAAACCAUGGAGUCCCCAGGAGAACCAGAUGUUCGGUCACUGCUGUAAGAAUGUGAGACUGAGAGGUCUACGAACACUCACUGAAUCUCGACAACCACAAACACCCAAUUCAGGGCACCGGAGCCUCUUCCCCAACCUUAGGGAUGAUAAAACCAAGACUUGGAGAGAGUUUGAGUUACCUGCCCAUGUUCAUAUAGCUGGUAAGUAUUGAAAUAUUUGAGUCCAAAUGUGACUUCAAACCCUCUUCUCUUAACCACUACCUACCCUUUCCAUUAGAUUUUAUAGAUUCUACUGUUUGUGUCAAAUCUAUCAUUCAAACAUAAGCUUUGGAGCAUUCCAUAGAAGAAAAAACAAGGAGAACUUUACUACCGUGCAUAACCUAUUUUUGGCUUAUUUCUCAGAAUGUUGACUCUAUUUCUCCUUCCCUGCAAGCUAAUGAUACAAAGAUGAUAGUUAUUUCUGUGGUUUGGAGGCAUGCUUAUCCAUCACAGGUCUGUUUUCAUCUGGGUUUAUUUUAUAAUCUAAG
rnacentral:lncRNA from 13 species